AACGAACGCUGGCGGCAGGCCUAACACAUGCAAGUCGAACGAGAAGCUUUCCUUCGGGAAAGUGGAAAGUGGCAGACGGGUGAGUAACGCGUGGGAACGUGCCUUUCGGUUCGGAAUAACUCAGGGAAACUUGGGCUAAUACCGAAUACGCCCUUCGGGGGAAAGAUUUAUCGCCGAAAGAUCGGCCCGCGUCAGAUUAGCUUGUUGGUGAGGUAACGGCUCACCAAGGCGACGAUCUGUAGCUGGUCUGAGAGGAUGAUCAGCCACACUGGGACUGAGACACGGCCCAGACUCCUACGGGAGGCAGCAGUGGGGAAUAUUGGACAAUGGGCGCAAGCCUGAUCCAGCCAUGCCGCGUGGGUGAAGAAGGCCCUAGGGUUGUAAACCCCUUUCAGCGGGGAAGAUAAUGACGGUACCCGCAGAAGAAGCCCCGGCUAACUCCGUGCCAGCCGCCGCCGUAACAC
rnacentral:rRNA from 1 species